rnacentral:ribozyme from 14 species
AAAAAGAAAAAGAAAAAAGAAAAAAAGAGCGCUUCAAAAGCCUGCGUGCCCUGGGGUGUUCAUUUCGAAACGUUUACUUUUUCCUCUCUACUAAUUUUCUUCUAUCUUAUUUUAUCAUUUAAUUUCAUUUUAAUAAAAUGUAUUAAAUGGAUUAAAUGCAUUAAAUGCAGUAAAAA